UAAAAAUGUUAUGGUCUAAUCAGUUGUUCACAGAGAUUCGUUAGUGUUGUGUUUAUUUCAGACUAAUUUUAAAAAGAAUUGAUUGAGUUUUCAAAGAGAAAGAAUGUUAAUGAAUAAAUUAGUAAACCUGAGUCUUCAAGAUCAUGCAGUAGUUGAUCAUGCAUUUUAUGCAAAUCCUCCACUCGUGUCUCUUACAUUAAGGAGGUGAGUGUGUGUGUGUGUGUGUGUGGUGAGGAGGAGGAGAGCAGCUGAGCAGUUUAAUUCACUUCAGUUAAUUACCCAAACAACGAUGUUCUCAUCAGUGCUGCUGCUGCUAACGGCUGCAUUCUGUGGCGUUGGCGGUGUGGAGCUCACUCAGUCAGCCUCUGUGCUCGUGAAACCUGGAGAGUCCUUCUCCAUCUCUUGUAAGAUCUCAGAGUCGAGUUAUUGUAUUAACUGGAUACGACAACCUGCUGGGAAAGUACUGGAAUGGCUCGGAUAUCUGUGUGAUGGUGGCGGCACUAAUCUCAAAGACACAAUGAAGAGCAAGAUCAGUUUCAGCCAGGACACAUCCAGCAGCACAGUUUAUUUAAGAGGACAAAACUUUCAGACUGAGGACACGGCUGUGUAUUACUGCGCCAGAGACACAGCACUACAAACUCACUGCAGCCCUGUACAAAAACAUCCCUGUUCAUGUUCAUCUCUCUGCAGUACACUUGUCCCCAGGGACGCCUGCUAUAAAUGA